rnacentral:rRNA from 1 species
CUACGAAGGGGGCUAGCGUUGUUCGGAAUCACUGGGCGUAAAGCGCGCGUAGGUGGAUCAAUUAGUUGAGGGUGAAAUCCCGGGGCUCAACCUCGGAACUGCCUUCAAUACUGUUGAUCUUGAGACCGAGAGAGGUGAGUGGAAUUCCUAGUGUAGAGGUGAAAUUCGUAGAUAUUAGGAAGAACACCAGUGGCGAAGGCGGCUCACUGGCUCGGUACUGACGCUGAGGUACGAAAGUGUGGGGAGCAAACAGGAUUAGAAACCCUAGUAGUCC